UCUUGAAUCUCUGCACUCCAGUUGAAUCCACGAAUUGCGUCAUACACACCUGCAUAAUUUCGAGUCCACAGCUGUUGCCCGAUUUUCCAGAUGGCAGCCACCUCUGGACGACUCUCUUUGAUUGAAAGUGGUAUGGAUUUCCACAGAAACCGGGCGCUAUUUCUGUCAAUUGUGCUGGCUCUUGCUGCUGUUGUUGAAACUUGA
rnacentral:lncRNA from 1 species